AGAGUUUGAUCCUGGCUCAGGACGAACGCUGGCGGCGUGCUUAACACAUGCAAGUCGAACGGUGAUCCAGGGCUUGCUCUGGUGAUCAGUGGCGAACGGGUGAGUAACACGUGAGUAACCUGCCCCUGACUCUGGGAUAACUGCUGGAAACGGUGGCUAAUACCGGAUAUGACGCCUUCCUGCAUGGGAUGGGUGUGGAAAGAUUUUUUGGUUGGGGAUGGGCUCGCGGCCUAUCAGCUUGUUGGUGGGGUGAUGGCCUACCAAGGCGACGACGGGUAGCCGGCCUGAGAGGGCGACCGGCCACACUGGGACUGAGACACGGCCCAGACUCCUACGGGAGGCAGCAGUGGGGAAUAUUGCACAAUGGGCGCAAGCCUGAUGCAGCGACGCCGCGUGAGGGAUGGAGGCCUUCGGGUUGUAAACCUCUUUCAGCAGGGAAGAAGCGUGAGUGACGGUACCUGCAGAAGAAGCGCCGGCUAACUACGUGCCAGCAGCCGCGGUAAUACGUAGGGCGCAAGCGUUGUCCGGAAUUAUUGGGCGUAAAGAGCUCGUAGGCGGUUUGUCGCGUCUGCUGUGAAAACUUCAGGCUCAACCUGGGGCUUGCAGUGGGUACGGGCAGACUAGAGUGCGGUAGGGGUGACUGGAAUUCCUGGUGUAGCGGUGGAAUGCGCAGAUAUCAGGAGGAACACCGAUGGCGAAGGCAGGUCACUGGCCGCAACUGACGCUGAGGAGCGAAAGCAUGGGGAGCGACAGGAUUAGAUACCCNNGUAGUCC
rnacentral:rRNA from 1 species